AACAUCGCGCACCUGCGGGAACCUGCGGAAGGAUCAUUAUUGGUAUUUAAGAUGUGCUGACUUUGUAAAGGAGUAUUGUGCACUCUAAAAUUCAUUUUGGUUUUCUCUGUGCACUUGUUAGUAGGCCCAAAGAAAAAUAAAAAGAGAGAGUUGGGUUUCAAGGGGAACUUGAACAUAUCCUUUUUAUUUUCUCUUGGUGUCCUAUGCACUUGUACUAAAAUGCUUUUUAUGAUUGAAUAC
rnacentral:misc_RNA from 1 species